rnacentral:tRNA from 3 species
GGGUGUUUAGCUCAGUUGGCUAGAGCAUCUCGUUUACACCGAGAGGGUCGGGGGUUCGAGCCCCUCAACACCCACCA